rnacentral:misc_RNA from 1 species
GAAAUCACCGGCCUAGCCGGUAAAAAAUUCUAUCCACCUUGUGUGCAAAUAAUGGAAAAAGAGAGAAAAUUGGAUACUUUUUGUAUCCAACUUCUCUAAAAUUCUUUAUAAACUCCAUCAAAUUUUGAAUAAAACAAUUUUUUUUUAAUAAAAAAUAUUAUA